UACGAAGGGGGCUAGCGUUGCUCGGAAUCACUGGGCGUAAAGCGCACGUAGGCGGAUUGCUAAGUCAGGGGUGAAAUCCUGGAGCUCAACUCCAGAACUGCCUUUGAUACUGGCGAUCUUGAGUCCGGGAGAGGUGAGCGGAACUGCGAGUGUAGAGGUGAAAUUCGUAGAUAUUCGCAAGAACACCAGUGGCGAAGGCGGCUCACUGGCCCGGUACUGACGCUGAGGUGCGAAAGCGUGGGGAGCAAACAGG
rnacentral:rRNA from 1 species